rnacentral:lncRNA from 1 species
AUGGAAGUCUCUGCAGAAACCUCUGGUCCUUACUGAUUUUUCAGGCUACGGCGUGCUCAUACAGCAGGUUUCUGUCUUCAGAGAGAGAAGAAUGUUAGAAAUCCUCAGCAGUGAGCAUUCUUCCCCUGGGUCGGAUGUGCCCUAGUUCCCCAGGUGACUGCAGGGCAGUGCCACGGUACCAGAAAUGACAUUUAUGGGGCAGAGGGAGAGAGAAAAUGAAGCGGUGUAUCUUAGCUGGUGAUGAAUGAGGAAAAAUCUCUCUAAACUGAGUGAGAAGAGAGCAUUUCCCAGAGCUGAUCUGACAUUGUGCCUGAAGGGCGAUGAGGAUGAAGUAUUUCCCUCUGACAGAAGAGCCUCUAUUACUGAAGUGGAUCGGUGACCUUAACAACUGCCUUUCAAACUUUGGAAAGAGGGCAGCCCGUGUUUGUGGAGCCGUGC